UGGUGGGGGAAGGAUUCGAACCUUCGAAGUCGAUGACGGCAGAUUUACAGUCUGCUCCCUUUGGCCGCUCGGGAACCCCACC
rnacentral:tRNA from 1 species